rnacentral:lncRNA from 1 species
CCAAAAGUUGCCUGGGUGCUAUUUUGUACUUUUUAAAUCUGAAGUAGUCUGACUCUGCACGCCAGCAGUCUGGCCUUUGGCUUAACCCCAAAAGUGCAUUUUUGAGAACGCUGACUUAGAGUCCCUCAGCCACCUUUGCUUCUGCCAGCCAGUCUGCAUGGCGUUAGAAAAGAGUUGAGCAGUUACUGACAGGGACUUUUCUUUACCCAAGCCUCCUAGAUGGAGCAGUUCAUUCUGCAACUCACCUUUCUAGUUUUGCUGAAAGACACUGUGACAGAAGAUGAGGAUCACUGGGACCCUCCAUCCUCAGCACAUCCAGCCCAUCCCUCACUACCCC